UACGGAGGAUCCGAGCGUUAUCCGGAUUUAUUGGGUUUAAAGGGUGCGCAGGCGGGAAAUUAAGUCGGCGGUGAAAUUUUGCGGCUCAACCGUAAAAGUGCCUUCGAAACUGGUUUCCUUGAGUGUAGAUGAAGUAGGCGGAAUUUGUGGUGUAGCGGUGAAAUGCAUAGAUAUCACGAGGAACUCCGAUUGCGCAGGCAGCUUACUAAACUACUACUGACGCUCAGGCACGAAGGCGUGGGGAUCAAACAGGAUUAGAUACCCGGGUAGUCCCUGAG
rnacentral:rRNA from 1 species